GACGAACGCUGGCGGCGUGCUUAACACAUGCAAGUCGAGCGGGGUCCAACCAGUGGCGAACACUGGGGAAGGCCUAGCGGCGAACGGGUGAGUAACACGUGAGCAACCUGCCCCGAAGUUCGGGAUAACACCGGGAAACCGGUGCUAAUACCGGGUGCCCCCAUCUGACCGCAUGAUCGGAUGAGGAAAGGCUAUGUCUAAUAAACAUGG
rnacentral:rRNA from 1 species